rnacentral:tmRNA from 1 species
CCCCUUUCCCUUUGGCUCGAAAUUAACUAUACUCUAUCUUGUCGCGCAAGCGACUAUGGCGAUAAACGCAACUUGGAAUAGGCGGACUGGACCCGGGGGCAGAACCCGGCGCCUCCACCUAAGUUCGCAGUCAGCGAGCGAAGCGAGCGUUACGAGAACCUAGCCGCGGCGUAGCUUGAGCGAAGCCGGGCCAGUGGACGGCCCCCCUUCGCCCUUAAGGGCUUGGCGGACACUCGAAUUCUCAAUUUCGCUUCGCUCAAUAGCGAAUUUCGGCGGGGGCGAAUCAGGCUCGACAGACGCAAUAAAGGAGUUGUUUUUGCCCGUGAUGAUUCCGGCGAUACCGGGUCGCAACUUUAAGUGCCAACGACAACGUGGCCCUUGUUGCUGCUAACGACAACCAUGUCGUAGAGGUUGCAGUCGCUGCCUAAGGGUAGCCUGCAAUCCUAGCACGUAACGCGGUUAUUCGAGGCCGGCACCGGGCAACAGAAGCCGGCCUCA